rnacentral:rRNA from 1 species
GGUUAAGUUAGAAAGGGCGCACGGUGGAUGCCUUGGCACUAGGAGCCGAAGAAGGACGGGACUAACACCGAUAUGCUUUGGGGAGCUGUACGUAAGCGUUGAUCCAGAGAUUUCCGAAUGGGGGAACCCACUAUCUUUAGUCGGAUAGUAUCCUUACGUGAAUACAUAGCGUGAGGAAGGCAGACCCAGGGAACUGAAACAUCUAAGUACCUGGAGGAAGAGAAAGAAAAAUCGAUUUCCUGAGUAGCGGCGAGCGAAACGGAAAGAGCCCAAACCAAGAAGCUUGCUUCUUGGGGUUGUAGGACACUCUAUACGGAGUUACAAAAGAAAGUUAUAAAUGAAGCGGUCUGGAAAGGCCCGCCAAAGACGGUAACAGCCCGGUAGUUGAAAUGGCUUUCCCUCCAGAGUGGAUCCUGAGUACGGCGGAACACGUGAAAUUCCGUCGGAAUCCGGGAGGACCAUCUCCCAAGGCUAAAUACUCCCUAGUGACCGAUAGUGAACCAGUACCGUGAGGGAAAGGUGAAAAGCACCCCGGAAGGGGAGUGAAACAGUUCCUGAAACCGUGUGCCUACAAGUAGUUAGAGCCCGUUAAUGGGUGAUAGCGUGCCUUUUGUAGAAUGAACCGGCGAGUUACGAUUUGUUGCAAGGUUAAGCGGAAAAAGCGGAGCCGUAGCGAAAGCGAGUCUGAAUAGGGCGCAUAAGUAACAGGUCGUAGACCCGAAACCAGGUGAUCUACCCAUGUCCAGGAUG